UUUUAUUUCCAUUCAUGCUAUUUAUUUUGCUGCAGGUACAAUUCAAUUGCUCCAAGAAUAUUUGAAAUGUUGUAUAUAUCAUAUAUGUAGCUGUAUUUAGAUUACUCCAACAGGAAACGUGCAUUGGUUAGUGUUAUAUUAUAAAUUGUUCCAUUUGUGGAACCAUAUAACAGCAUCUCAAUUAGUCUCUCCUUUCCUGAAAAAUCUCAAUAUUAGUAAAGGAAGUGCUCCAUCAAUUUUCCAAUACUUAUUGGAUCAUCCCAAUAUUUACGCUCACCCCUUCUCCUUCCCAAAUAAACGGGGAGUUCAUACUCCCAACGCAAUAUGGUAGUUGUCCAUGGCACCAUAUUGUUUUCCCUAACCCACCCUUCCCACGAUCACACUGCCGUGGCCUUCAUCGACAAGUCAUGCUCACCACUAGUUGGCAGAGCUUGCCCAUGCGACCGAUGUUGGCCUCCCCAGCCGCCCCCCACCCCCACAGUCGCUGGCCACCCAUCCAGAGCUGACACACUGGCCGGCUUGAGGAGCCAUGCCGGUUGCUGCAUAGAGGUGGAGCGCUGGGCGUUGGGCCCCGUAUGCCACUCCGGCCUGACUCCCCUAGUCCCCUAUAGCUUAGCCUAUCAUCUUUCUCUGCCUGAUCUUC
rnacentral:lncRNA from 1 species